rnacentral:rRNA from 1 species
GACGAAGGUGGCAAGCGUUGUCCGGAUUUAUUGGGCGUAAAGAGCGUGUAGGCGGCUUGGCAAGUCCGCUGUGAAAACUCGAGGCUCAACCUCGAGACGUCGGUGGAAACUGCCUGGCUAGAGUCCGGAAGAGGAGAGCGGAAUUCCUGGUGUAGCGGUGAAAUGCGCAGAUAUCAGGAAGAACACCCGUGGCUAAGGCGGCUCUCUAGUACGGUACUGACGCUGAGACGCGAAAGCGUGGGGAGCGAACAGG